rnacentral:rRNA from 1 species
AAUAGAUACCCGGGUAGUCCACGCCGUAAACGAUGAGUGCUAAGUGUUAGAGGGUUUCCGCCCUUUAGUGCUGCAGCUAACGCAUUAAGCACUCCGCCUGGGGAGUACGGCCGCAAGGCUGAAACUCAAAGGAAUUGACGGGGGCCCGCACAAGCGGUGGAGCAUGUGGUUUAAUUCGAAGCAACGCGAAGAACCUUACCAGGUCUUGACAUCCUCUGACAACCCUAGAGAUAGGGCUUUCCCCGUUCGGGGGACAGAGUGACAGGUGGUGCAUGGUUGUCGUCAGCUCGUGUCGUGAGAUGUUGGGUUAAGUCCCGCAACGAGCGCAACCCUUGAUCUUAGUUGCCAGCAUUCAGUUGGGCACUCUAAGGUGACUGCCGGUGACAAACCGGAGGAAGGUGGGGAUGACGUCAAAUCAUCAUGCCCCUUAUGACCUGGGCUACACACGUGCUACAAUGGAUGGUACAAAGGGCUGCAAACCUGCGAGGGUAAGCGAAUCCCAUAAAGCCAUUCUCAGUUCGGAUUGCAGG